rnacentral:rRNA from 1 species
AGGACGAACGCUGGCGGCGUGCCUAACACAUGCAAGUCGAGCGAGGAGAUCCUUCGGGAUGAUCCUAGCGGCGGACGGGUGAGUAACACGUGGGCAACCUGCCUCAUAGAGAGGAAUAGCCUUCCGAAAGGGAGAUUAAUACCUCAUAACAUUGCAGUUUCGCAUGGAACAGCAAUUAAAGGAGCAAUCCACUAUGAGAUGGGCCCGCGGCGCAUUAGCUAGUUGGUGAGGUAACGGCUCACCAAGGCGACGAUGCGUAGCCGACCUGAGAGGGUGAUCGGCCACAUUGGGACUGAGACACGGCCCAGACUCCUACGGGAGGCAGCAGUGGGGAAUAUUGCACAAUGGGGGAAACCCUGAUGCAAGCAACGCCGCGUGAGUGAUGACGGCCUUCGGGUUGUAAAGCUCUGUCUUCAGGGACGAUAAUGACGGUACCUGAGGAGGAAGCCACGGCUAACUACGUGCCAGCCGCUGC